rnacentral:lncRNA from 1 species
AAAAAACAAAAAGUGACCCCAAAUGUUUAAAUGGUAGCGUAAAUAAUUUUAAUUUAAUUUAAUUUUUAAAGAUUGUACUAUUUUCACAUUUACUCAAAAAGGAUCAAGUGACAGUGAAGACUGGUGUUACGACUGCUGCAAGUUCAAAAUUUUCAUCACAGAAAAAAAAAGACAUUUUAAAAGAUAUUCAUAUUCAAGUUAUUAUAAAUGCAGACUUUGCAGACUUGGUGAGCUUAAGAUAAUUCUUCCAAACUUUUGACUAGUGUAUAUACCAUUCUCUAAUACAAAAAGAUUAAUUUGUAGUCUGUGAGUAAAAAAAAAAAAGAAUUACAACGGCCUACAAUCUUCCCUACACUCAUCACUGCUCUCACAGAAAGUGAGUCAAUGAGAAAACAGUGCAUAUUGGGCUUAUGAUGCCUAGUGUGAUUUGUUGUUGAAGAGAUAUGAAGAGGACUGAAGAGAUCUUGAUAUUUAGGAGGGUUCUCUCUGGAGCUCAGGGGAACUGUACAUCAUACAAUAAAUGAUCUGUAUAGUAAAUUUUAAAAAUCCUUUUGCAAAGAAAACAAAAAAGAGCUCAGUUUAGUAACUUUAGUAACUUUCCUGGGAAUCUCUGCCCUGGAUUGUUUCUACACAAUCUUCUGCAUCUCAGGCAGCCACACUUUAUAAAUAUUACUGAAUACUACAAACCGUUGCAGAGCCAUUUGGUUAAUUUCUUUGAGGAAGACAUACACCAGCUGUACAUAAUCCCAAUUCAGCUGUCAUCAACUCAUUAAUCUCUUAUACAGUAACUUCAUUUUUUUCUCACUGAUGUUUCCAAUGCUCCAGACUGAGUCACAUUUCUUCUCACAGAUCCUUGAGAGUAUCUUUCUGGCCUGAUUCACUGACACACAUGGAAGUUAUUAUUGAGCUUUAAUGCAACAUUACUUCAACUCACUGGUACCCAGGCAUUCGGAGGUCAAACCAGGGCCAGAUAUUUAUUAGAACCUUACACAUCUCAGACCCCCUCCGCUGUCAGAUCGUGCUGUAAAUUGAAAUGAAAAUAGAUGUGUUGCAAAGGCUCAACACUAACUACAAAGCAGAGCCUUAAAGGUAUGACAUAUCAGAAAUCUCGCUCAUGUCAAUUCAUCAAAGUAACGGACCGAUGACAGGAUGACGAAAGGGCAGGAAUGGAUAUAUGGGGGAUUUCAGAGAAAAAGAGGGAGGCACUGCAAUAGCAGGAAUUUCUGUUGCUAUUCUGAGGUGAAAAGGGUUUGAG